GUGGCCUGGGUAGCCUGUGGGGUGUGUGUGUGUGUGUGUGUGUGUGUGCGCGCGCUGGUCCUGCUGUGAUGCACA
ensembl:miRNA